rnacentral:lncRNA from 1 species
CCCUACCCAGGCACAGGCCUGGUGCCCUCGAGGGCCAGACAGUGCAGAGGGGACUCUGAGGGUGGGGGAGAGAGAGGCGUGGUCCCCGGCCUCUGAUGGAGUGGGAAGUGUGGUGCUGUGCACAGUGAACCUAUGGGGUUUACUAGACAGUGGCCUGUCUAGCAAUGGGCAGCAGGGAGAGAGCAGGGUUUCCAGACAGGCCUUUAGUUAGGUGCCCAGGCACAGGCAGGGCUGUCACACCUGUCUGCCCCGGCCCCCGAGCAUUUUGGGGAUUUUGGAUGGUGGCUCACCCUGACCUCUUUCCAGCUUUAGCACGAGAGUCCCAGCCCCAUUUUCUUUCCUAGCUAACUGUACCAUCACUGCCACAUCAGGGCCCCCAAUACAAUAAGGAGUUAAAGGAAAAGAGGCUACCUUGAGAUCCCCCUCUACCCGCCAGCCCACAGGGUUCCCCCACCUCAGAGUUCAGGAAGUAUUGGUAAAUGGAGGCAGGAGUGGGGCAGGGAUCCUCGGGGGAAGAUCUUAAGAACUUCACCAUGGAAUUAGCUGAUGACACUGGUGUCUUUCUUCUAAGGGGUGCCUAUCCUUUUUCUAUGCUUGCUAGGGAGCUUGAAUCUUUUCUUUUUAAGAGAGAAAAUUUCUGGGCUUGGGAAAGAGGAGCCUCAAGCUGACACUGGUCUGAGUGGGAAAAUUUGGGGCUGAAGUCCUUCCCUUGAAAAUGUGUCUGCUGGGCAAUGCUGAGCAAAAUUCCACAAAGGAGAGAAAGGGUGGAGGAGGGCAGAUUGCCCUUCACCUACCUCUGCGUCUUCUUUGCCUGCCCAGCCUUAGCUGGGCCCCACACCACUAAUGGAAUUUCCAUCCUCAUCCCAUAGCAUCCCCAAAGAACAUUCAAGUCUGAGCCUCAAGGAGCCUCUGCGACUCGGUGUCUAGAUCCAGGAAAUGGAGAAUGAGCCGUGACUUUGGAUGCUUCACUCUUGUCCAUCAGGCUCGGAAUUGGCCUGUUGAAGUAGGAGGCAGGACUCAACUUCAGACCAGAUUGAAGACUGGCUGACACAGAAGAGGCACCAAAAGCACCUCUCUCUCCAUAAGACAUGCCCACCAGUGCCAUGACAGUUUACCAUUGCUAUGGCAAUGCCCAGAAGUUCUCACCCCUUUUCCAGACAUUUCUGCAUAAUCUACCCCUCAAUUGGCAUGUGAUCAAAAGUGGGUGUCAAAAUGACUGUGGAACUGUCCCUGAGCUGCUACUCUUGACAUGCUGGUUACAGGGUAGCCCGGCUCUGCAGGGACAGUCACGGAGCUGAAAAACUGCUGCCUAAUGAAGCUGUUUUCUUCUACCACCGGCUCACCCUCAAAUUAUUUCCUGAGCGAACUCAAGAACCUUCCUGGGCUAAGCCCCAAUUUUGGGGCUCGCCUGCCCCUGCAUCACAGCUUCCUCUUCUGUUCACAGCUGCAACCGCCUACUCAACCUUCUGCGGUUCCUCUCCCUGCCCCUCCACAGUGGCUGCUGAUGGGAGCUCUGGCUCCCUGCGUUUUCACUAUCUCCCAGUCAAAUGCAGAGUCCCUGUGCAAUUUAAAUGCUUCUCAGCUAAGAACAGAGAAGGGGAUAGCAUAAGGAUAUUCAAAAGAUUCAAGAAAUCUCAAAAGUGAUCACAAAACAUUUGUCUCUGACCAACCAGAAACAUCGACGGGUGAGAAGGGCAUUUCCUCUAGCUGAAUUCUUCAUGGGUCUUCAGGCUCUGUUUUCACUUUGGAUUUUCUGGAGUCUCCUGAAGGUUACCUGAAAUCUUGUUGGUCCUGAAUAUUGUAUGUGGAGUCCCAAGCUGCAAGAAGUCAGUGGGGCUGGACGGGAGCCAAAAUCAGAGACUCAAGCAGCACAGCUGGGCCCCAUUGAAAGUGAGACCAGCUGUCCCAGUUGGAAGCUGGGGUAUAGAGCUG